rnacentral:lncRNA from 10 species
GGGGCGCGGACCAGCGGCCAGGCGGGGCCAGACGGGCGGGGUGGGAUGGAGAAAAGGUGGCGCGGGCUCCGCAGCAGCCGCCCAAUGGCACUGGAGAGGGCGGGGGCGGCAGGGGCGACGCCCCUUCCCCAGUGUCCCCCAUUCCUCCCCGCGGCUUCGCCCCCUUCCAGUGGAUCCGGUGUCUGCGGCGGCUCCGGGGUUGCCUGAGUGACAGCUAAGGCCGGCCGGAUCUCUGGGGGCCUGACUUCCACCCAAGACGCCACUAGCUUGGUGAGGGGCCCCAGAGCUCUCCACCGCAGCUCAGCCCUCCGCAGCCCUGACCCUCCCUCUCCAGGUUCCCCGCGCUCUGCUCCCCUCUUGGCACUGUUGCCCUAUCCUUCCCCAUCCCACUGCUUUCCAUCGCCUGGAACCUACUCCUCGUCCCCUUGGAAGUUUUGUUUGCAGCAGUUCCCAGUACUGCGCUGCACGCCACGCCCCCGUUUGUCUGGAGCAAACCGAAUUCCUCUGCAGCAGCUUGGACUUCUACCUACUCAACUGUCUGCUGCGGGUCUUGGAGCAAAGCUCUUUCUCGUAUCAGUCUGUUUUUUGUUUGUUUGUUUUCUUUUCUUUUCUUAUUUUGAUUGUUUUCCCUUGGAUUUGUAUAAGAUGAUACAGUCCUCCAGGGCCUAGAAAGGAACAACCUCUUACGAAAAAAAAAAAAACCAAUGCAUAAAUCAAAGGCAAAAUUAAAAUUUAAAAAAAAUUCAACUCCGAUUCCAAGU